rnacentral:rRNA from 1 species
UACGUAGGGUGCAAGCGUUUGUCCGGAAUUAUUGGGCGUAAAGAGCUCGUAGGCGGUCUGUCGCGUCGGCUGUGAAAACUCGGGGCUCAACCCCGAGCCUGCAGUCGAUACGGGCAGACUAGAGUCCGGCAGGGGAGACUGGAAUUCCUGGUGUAGCGGUGAAAUGCGCAGAUAUCAGGAGGAACACCGGUGGCGAAGGCGGGUCUCUGGGCAACAACUGACGCUGAGGAGCGAAAGCGUGGGGAGCGAACAGG